rnacentral:rRNA from 1 species
GAUCAUGGCUCAGAUUGAACGCUGGCGGCAGGCUUAACACAUGCAAGUCGGACGGUAACAUAGAGAAGCUUGCUUCUUUGAUGACGAGUGGCGGACGGGUGAGUAAUGCUUGGGAAUCUAGCUUAUGGAGGGGGGAUAAACUACGGGAAACUGUAGCUAAUACCGCGUAGAAUCGAAAGAUUAAAGUGUGGGACCUUCGGGCCACAUGCCAUAGGAUGAGCCCAAGUGGGAUUAGGUAGUUGG